rnacentral:rRNA from 1 species
AGUGAACGCUGGCGGCAGGCCUAACACAUGCAAGUCGAGCGGCAGCGCGGGGGCAACCCUGGCGGCGAGCGGCGGACGGGUGAGGAAUUCGUCGGAAUCUGCCUCUUUGUGGGGGAUAACGUAGGGAAACUUACGCUAAUACCGCAUACGUCCUACGGGAGAAAGUGGGGGACCGCAAGGCCUCACGCAGAAAGAUGAGCCGACGACCGAUUAGCUAGUUGGUGGGGUAAAGGCCAACCAAGGCGACGAUCGGUAGCUGGUCUGAGAGGAUGAUCAGCCACACUGGGACUGAGACACGGCCCAGACUCCUACGGGAGGCAGCAGUGGGGAAUAUUGGACAAUGGGCGCAAGCCUGAUCCAGCCAUGCCGCGUGUGUGAAGAAGGCCUUCGGGUUGUAAAGCACUUUUGUCCGGAAGGAAAUCCCUGGAGCUAAUACCUUCGGGGGAUGACGGUACCGGAAGAAUAAGCACCGGCUAACUUCGUG